rnacentral:rRNA from 1 species
UACGGGGGGGGUAAGCGUUGUUCGGAAUUACUGGGCGUAAAGGGCUCGUAGGCGGCCAACUAAGUCAGACGUGAAAUCCCUCAGCUUAACUGGGGAACUGCGUCUGAUACUGGAUGGCUUGGAUUUGGGAGAGGGAUGCGGAAUUCCAGGUGUAGCGGUGAAAUGCGUAGAUAUCUGGAGGAACACCGGUGGCGAAGGCGGGUCUCUGGGCAGUAACUGACGCUGAGGAGCGAAAGCGUGGGGAGCGAACAGG